CACUGACAGCAACAAGCCCAAUGUGGGGCUGGAACUCACUAACCAUGGGAUCCAGACUUGAGAUGAAACCAAGAGUUGGACGCUUAACUGACCAAGCCCCAGUCUCCAGCUUUUCAAUUAAGACUUUGUACUGAAGAGGUUUCAGGCAACUAGCACAGAACAGUGAAUCAUGUUGUGGUGCACAGUUCAAAGGCUGGGCAAUUGAAGUCCUGAGAAAUGAAGUAACAGUCUCAGCUACACAAGAUAAAUCAAUAGGGAAGGCAGUGUGGGGGCCUGCUGUGUUUCCAAACUUCUGUCAUGAUAAAAAUGACCUAGGGUGGCUGUUAAAAUGCUCAUUCCUGGUCCAAGCCCCAUAUCCACUGAGCCCUAUCUCCAGGUAUGGGGCCCAUGAAUGUAUUUUUUUUUUUUUAAGUCUCUGGGUAUAUCUGAUCUUUGGGAAAUGGGAGAGACUAGUUAGUGGCAAGAGCAGGGGUUGGGAAGAUUCAGAAGAUAUAGGGUCAUUCCUGGCUCUGCCCUGACUUUUAAGUCACUUCACUCUCUGAGCCUCAUUUUUCCAACCUGUAGACUGAAGUAAGUGAACAAGGCUGGGCUAGCCCCACAGUGGUGACGUUGAGGGACAGCUGUGAAGUGAUGGGUCUUCUGAUUCCUGGGCCCUUUUCCCACUUCCCAGUGCCAUGUUGGGACGUAGGCUCCUUAAUAUUAAGGAGCAAUGAUGCUGCUGAAGAUCUGCCAUCAGGAGGGUCCGGGAUGGUGUGUGUGUAUGUGUGUGUAUGUAUGUGUGUGUGUCCUCUCAUUGUCUGGUGCCAUAUUUGUCCCGCAGCAUAGCUUGGCCACGUCAGUUACUGGAGUUGAGAAGAUUGUAUCUUGCUCACCCUCAGGACACUGCUUUCUAGAAUUCCCCUUAAGUGGUGGUUGGUUUUCUUUUUGAAUCUGAAGCCUACCUACGUCUGGGGUUAGCAGUGAGCCAGGCAGCCCCUGUUCCUCAUUCCUGCUUCCUCCUUCCUAGGGAGGAAGACUUCUUUAGCUCUUUUGAAGCAAGUCUGCUGCUCCAUUUUCUUGUCCCUGCCCGUCAUUCACUGAAGGUUUUGGCUCCUGCCUCACUGUUUCCCACCACAGCUAAGAUCGUCAUUCUCAGUGGCCUUAGUGUUUUUGUAGAUAAGCCACCAGCACCCCAACAUGUCAGCUCCUCAAGGGCAUUGCUUGCAAAGAUCUUGGUCUUGACCUCACUUCAUGACCCCCGUGGCCAUGCCUCGGCCUUGUAAUGACUAGUAGCUUUGCCAUCUUCAGAGCCUUCAUCUUAACACCAAACUCAUGGAACACUACCUCAUAUCUUUCCAUGGCGUUCCCUCCAACAGGUCUCUAACUCUGACAAUUUUUUGAUUCUACUGGGAUAUCGAAGGAUUGACCCUCUCAGCCUUGCUCUGCCCCUCACCUUCCCCAUGUCGUCACUUGUCUCUUGGUCUUGCUUAGAUUCCAGGGCCGCCAUUGUGAUGUCAGCAUGAAUCCUCAUCUCCCUUGCUCAUCUUUCCUCUCUCUGAUAUACUCACCUGGCUACUCAACCUCAGACCUUAAGAAACUGGCAGCUUACACUCUUUCUCAAGAGGUGCUUGCUUUUGUAACCAAGCCCCCAUAUUGAGGGGAAGCCCAAGCUGCCCAUAGAAAGGCCCGUGUGGAGAGAAACCACCAACGAGCACCAUCCUACUUGCAAUAUGACUGAACCACAUGGGAAGUAGAGCUUCCUGCCUCAGCCCAGCUGUCCCAGUUGAUUCCAUGAGCAGCAGAGACAAGCCAUCCCUGCUGAACCCAAAUUGCAGAUUUGUGAGAAAAAUAAAUGACUGCCAUUAGUGUGAGCCAUUUCGUUUGGAAUGGCUACCUAAGCCGCAACAGAUGAAUGGAAUAACCAGCUGCAGUUCUACUUGUUGUUGUUUUUUUUUCUACUUUCUUUUCUGUUCCUUACAACCAGAAGCAGGAGCACAGAGAUGAAGCACUUAGAUCUGGACUCCAGUUGUCUGGAUCCAAGUCCUGCCUUUGCCAUUUGCUAGGUGUGACUUUUGGGCUGGUGGUGACGUCUCUCUGCACUUAAAUUUUCUCACUUGUCAAAUGAGGAGAGGAAUAGAAAAUAGUCCCCUCUCACCAGGUUGUUCUGAGAAUUAAGUGAGAUUAUGUAUGCAAAGUAUUUAGUGUAUUUCUGAAUCUGGCUUCUCUCAUUCUGAUUCAUACAGAAGUGGGGUUUGGGAAUGGGCUGCAACAUACCAGAGCUUCCCAUGUGGAAGCAGCUGAAUUGAGGUGGCGUGGGAAGAAGUGAGGACCCCCUGAUCCCAGCAGGGGAUACUGGCAGGGCUUUUACACUCAGGGGCAAGUAUAGUCCGUUAAAAUACCUCUCCCUGUUGACUUGGGGCCAGAUCAUGUGGCCAGUGACGAAGCACUUAGGGGCAGACCAGCAAAAUAUCAGAGUAUUUCAGAAGUUGGAGAUCAUCUACAGACUUUAGUAAAUGACUCCAGGAAGAGAUAAGCUCCAGACAAGCCGGACUGACCACCUGAAAGCGGAGUGACAACAGAACAGAGACACUUGUUGCUGAUGCCCUGAGGCCACGGGGGAUCAAAUAGUCAUGGCCUUCUAAAUCUCAGAGGCUACGUUCUCUGCUGCCCCCAAAUGAGUGCCCUGAUGAAUAUGCAGGCUCCUGGAUGAGAGAUGCCUGGGAGAAGCCUAGGAAGGCAGGGAUGCUGAUAUUGCACAUACCCUAGCACCUUCUGCUGGGACAUUGGGCAUUUUGCCAACACUGCACCUCUAGGAACAUGGAUGAGUCCUCAUUGGUUUUGUCUAUACUGCGUGUCCCUGACCCCUUGGCUAGCUCUGACAGGUCCAGGGGAGAACCCAAUCUUGCUCCAUCCAGCACAUUCUCUGUCCUUGAACUGAAGGGCCUAGACCUUAGGUUGCUGAGUCAUGGUAAUGCAGAGGGACGGUCAGCAAACCUGCUGCCGAGUCCACAGACCUGCUGUUGGCUUCUGCCUUUCCUCCAGCCUUGGGUUAGCUUUUCCUUUUUUUUUUUUUUUUGUUCUGUGGGAUCCAGCAGUAUUUACCUAGUAGCGACUGCUUUUUAAUUAAGCUUCUCUCUCGUUUGCCACCCUAAGACACUCAUCAGAAUGGAGAUUUAAAAAACAGAAAAACAGCAAAUGCUCUGCUCUGUGGGCACACGGCGAUGGUUCAAACAGACGAUACAUAGUGAAGGUUACCAGCCCUGUGCCUGCACAAAGGCUACCUGCACCAGCUCCUGACUUUAGGUUUGCCAUCCUCGUUCUAGCCCAAGCUCAGACCUGAUGUGAGAGAUGUGGCUUCUCCUGAUGAGCUUUGGGCCCUUGUCGCAGAUGCUGUGGAGGCCUCACCUUGACCAUUCCCUGGCACGUGGACCCCAUGAUGUCCAGUUUCCCGUGGCUGCAACUUGCUGCCUGAAGAAGGCUUUCUCUAGCUACUUAAGCCCACUGAGCUGGUUCCCGGAGCAAGCUAUGCCAGGGGGUUAAGCCUUACCCUCCAGCAGCCCUCCACUAAUGAUGGAUGGGAAUUGGGGUGAAUAAAACUCCAACUUGCUCAUUCUCUGAAGGAGAGACAACUCUGAAGCGUGUUCCACCCCAUGUCCCAGAGGUCCCUGGUGGGGCUGAACUCCAAUUGCUCACAGGGGUCACUGACACAUCAAAGCACCCACUAUCACUACCGUCCCUUUUCUGACACAUUCCUGCUCUCAUACUGACGUUUUCCAGGAUAACCUCCCAAAUAAACUUGACUCAGGAUCUGCUUUGGGGCAGUCUAGCCUAAGACAGCCUUCUUUCUUAUCCUACAGAGUAAAAUACUACUCACUAACCACGUUAUUAUGUCAGACACAAUAUUUAUUUCACAUUAGAUCCCUGAGAUGGGUGCUGUUUUAACCCCCACUUUACAAAGGAGAAAAUGGAGGCCACAGAGCCAGCCAGUGGCAGAGCCAGGAUUUGAACUCAGAUCUUUCUGGCUCCAAAAGUUCUGCCUGCCCUAUCAUAUGACACUCACCUGGCUCCUUCCAUCCUGGAUCUCUUUCCUGCAGUCAAGCCUUGGCCACAAAGACAGAAGGAGGAAUGGCUGACCACUUACUGUGACACCAAUUAUCGCCACAUGUAAAGAACAGGAAAUUGUAAUUCAGGAACUGAGUGUACCAAGACAGCUGGCUUCAGCCCACAGAGGCAGGCAGCACUAUUAUUUUAAGAAUCCUUCCGGGCACAGAAGAGCAGCCUUUGUGUCUGUGGAGGUUGGUACAGUGAUGGUGAUGCCCUCCCCAUCAACAGACUGUGUAGGAAGACCUAUGGAAAAUGGAAAAACCCAGCUUGGACCCUCUCUGGUCUACUACUCCUAGUACAAAGUAGAGGACUAACAACCUGGGGAUCUGGCUUCCAAUUCUCAAGCUUCCCUUUAUAGUCUGUGUAAAGUUUGGUUUCUUACUUCCUUGCACUGGACCUCAGUUUCAUGGGUUACAUGUACUAAAUCUAGGAUGGUCCCACCAACUGUAGCAGGCUGAGUGAAUUUUAAAUGUUGGGUGCUCCAUUUGGAUGUGUUCCCAUAAUGUUUGGCCCGUGGCUCACUCCAGAUACAACUUCAGCUCCAGAUAAGGUAAAUAAGAUGAUAGUCAGGUCCCAUCUUGGGAUCAAAGGAAACACAUCAUUGGCCAAAAAUAUAUUUCUAUUUUGUGCUUACUCUGGUGUGAGAUUCUAGAAAAGAUGAGCAUUGGUUCAUAUCUGCAUUCAAACAAUCGACAGUACUUUCAAGCAUACCUUUGUUCUAGGCCCUGAGCUUGGCAUCAUGGGUACAAAAAUAGAUAAUACAAGGCCAUAACCCCAAGUGUCAGGAAAUACCGUGGAAAGCGACUAGCAGGAAUGAGUGUGAAGGAAAAGAACCUGGACUCUCUCUGCUUAUCCUGAGAGAUGGCCUCAGUGAGUCCCCCUCUGGUGGGGAAUAAAGCAUAGCAGCUCUGUCAAAGAAGGUAAGCUCCAUCUGAGGAGAGGUCAUUGCUUGCAGUGUUGCAGAGGGGAGAGGCUCUCCCAGGAGAACCAGGGAAAGCUUCAUAGAGGAGAUGAUAUUUGAGUGGAGCCUUGAAAGGAGCACAGGACUUCAGCGGCUGGAGAUGGGAAGAGAAUGUUCUAGGCACGGCAAAUGUAUGCCAAGUCCCCCAGACAUUGUCCAGGGCACAAGUUGUUUCAGUUGGAUGCAGCAGAGGUUAUCUGAAAAGAAAAGGAUAUGGGAAGAAAGACUGGAAUAGACUGUUCAGAUCAUAUGAGAAAGCUUCUGAAUUCAGACCAAGGAGCAUGCAAUUCAGCAGGGAAUCGGUAGAUGAGCCCUAGCAGUCAGGGUUCUGAAUUCCAAGCCACAGAAAUCAAUUCCAACUAACGUUAGCAAAGAGAAGACUUUAUUAGAAGGAUGCACUAAAGCUCAUAGAAUUGAAGGGAAAGCUGACCAACCAGACCUCGGAAAAUACAGGAACCAGGAAAUCUAGAAGGAAAUAGUGAUAGGGAAUAAUAAACAAUAUAAUAGUCAGGUUUUGCUGCAAUAAAGCUGCUUAACAAAUAGUCCUCAAAGCUCAGUGACUGACAACCGCAAACCUUUUAUUUUUCUUGUUCAUGGGUUUGAGGAUCAGCUGGGUUGGCUCCCUUUCAGGCUAUAGGUAAAUUCGGUUGUGCAACACAUGUCUCCUCAUUCUCCUUGGGCCAGUGGCUACCUGAGGCUUGUCCUUCUGCAGCAGAGGGUGGAAGAGCAAGCCAAACCACAGAAGAACAUUCAAGGUCUCUGCUCCUUUUCAGUAAUGCUGAAUAAUAUUCCCUUGGCCGGAGCAAGUCCUGUGGGGAAAGAGAAGGGAAAAUAAGAAGGAAUGGGAAUCUUGGGAAUCUGCGAUGGGUGUGUAAGUGAGUGAGUGUGUGUGUGUGUGUGUGUGUGUGUGUGUUUGGGAAUGGAUUGUUUCAAGAUACUAGUAAACAGGGGCAGUUUGCCAGUAGGAUUACAACACUGGAGGCCAGAAGUCUCUGCUUCCCUCAGAAACUGAGUGAGUCCACUUUUCCCUGCUUCUGGCCACACCUCUCCUUCUGAGGACCGAAGUAGAACACCCUGGAGGUAUUAAUAUGACCCUUAACCUCACAGCAUGGGAGGCCCCUUGAGGGUUUUUUACAUUCUUACUAAGACCCAAGUGAUAAAGCUGACCACCCCCCAAACCCCCACCCAGGGAGCAGC